GUUCUCAUCCUCUUACACUGACAGAUAGGAGGAGCCUGUGGAGAUCUGAUAUAGAGCAAACUAAACUCUUUUUCUUCCUACAGUGCAAACAUGACGAUCCUUUGUGUUCUGCUUCUGCUAUUGUUGAUGAAAAGGGAGACAUUUGGACAGUCAAUAACACCGCUGGAAAACAAGGUGCUUAAAUCUGCAGGAGACGAAGUCACUCUGUCCUGUAAAUAUGAUGGAGCUGUAAGUAACCUGCACUGGUAUCGUCAGUAUCCGGGAUCCAAACCAGAGUUCCUCGCAUUCAUUUAUCCACAUGGAGCCACAAGUAACCCUCUUCCUCCUCGUCUUUUACCUAAAGUGGAUAAAAACAACAAUCUUGUGAGCCUGGAGAUCUCCUCUGCUGAAGUAUCAGACUCUGCUCUGUAUUACUGCGCACUGACGCCCACAGUGACAGGAAACUCAUCCUCACUGUACAAAAACAUCCUCAACAAUAAAUCUCCUCAUAAACUAAAGAUUCAGAAAAGGGCCAGUGCAUCACAAAACACUUAAAAUAUCAUACAGCAGUUCAGACAGUGGUGGUAUAAAGAAAGAAAAGUAGCAGUAAUGCAUCUAAACAUCUCAUGGACAAAAGAAGUAAUAAAGAAAUGCAUCAAUAAAUGCAUGAAUUGAUAAACAGAUAUGAGAAAGCAAGUGAAAGUGAUGUUAAAAAUAAUAAUAAAAUAAGCUAAUUUGGUAACAGACCUCACAGACAGUCA